rnacentral:rRNA from 1 species
GAUGAACGCUGGCGGCGUGCCUAAUACAUGCAAGUCGAGCGAACAGACGAGGAGCUUGCUCCUCUGACGUUAUCGGCGGACGGGUGAGUAACACGUGGAUAACCUACCUAUAAGACUGGGAUAACUUCGGGAAACCGGAGCUAAUACCGGAUAAUAUAUUUAACCGCAUGGUUCAAUAGUGAAAGACGGUUUUGCUGUCACUUAUAGAUGGAUCCGCGCCGCAUUAGCUUGUUGGUAAGGUAACGGCUUACCAAGGCGACGAUGCGUAGCCGACCUGAGAGGGUGAACCGACAAGACGGAAGUGAGACACGGUGCAGAAUACUUAGGGAGGCCAGAGUAGGGAAUCUUGCGGAAGUGGCGAAAGGCAGACGGGGGAACGCCGGGGGAGUGAUUAAGGUCUUGGGGUCGUUAAACUCUUUUAAUUGGGAAGAACAAAAGGGGAAGUAACUAUUCACGUCCUGAAGGUAACUAAUCAGAAAGCCACGGCUAACUACGUG